CGAAAAUAUUUAUUUUCGUUAUUUGUGAAUUUUGCCAAAAAAAUGGCAUUUAAAAAUUAUGAAAAAUAUGAUAUGCUUGUAUGUUUUAUACAAAGCAAUGAAAAUGCUGAAGAAGCUUCUGAAGUAUAUGCCUAUAGAUAUCCAGAGAGAAGGCAACCGUUUUUUGGUAUAUUUGCCCGUUUAAAGGACAAAUUACUUAAGCACGGAUCUUUUGUUCAGCCGCGUCCUAAAGCACAGAAUAAAGAAAAUUGGGAAGAAAGGUACAACAAGGACGCUUUGGAGACGGAGUAUAUUGUUUUAUUUUGGGAAAACAAAUAGUAUACCGAAUUUUUGAAGGGAAUUUUACAGCACGUAGGUAUAGUUUAAAUGAAGUCAAUUGGAACACCACCAAUAUAUUUGGCAGGUGUCUGGUUUGCUAUCAAAAAUAAAAGCUUGUUGACAACUAGUGUAUUUACAAAACGGUCACCAGCCAAGUUAACUGGUGCUGUUUCAAUUGACUUCAUUUAAACUUUAACAAGACAUACUUGAGAAAGUUACUCCAGAACUUUUGGAAAAUAUCCCUCUAGCCCAAUAUAACACUGUCUACCUACAACAAGAUGGUGCCCCAAGUCAUAACUUUGGGCUAGUAAGGGCAUUUCUUGAAAAUAACUUUGCUCAAAGAUGGAUAGGUAUCAACGGACCUGUUAGAUGGCCUCUCGAUUAUAGAUUUUUUUUUAUCAGGGUAUAUACAAGAUCAAGUGUAUAAAAGACAAUGCAAUAAUCUAAUAGAACUUCAAGACGUAAUUCAUUUAGCAUUUCAAAAUCUGAAAAGGAAACAAAUUAUUAUUUUGAAUGCUAUUUAAAGGGUUACAAAGAUGUGCCAAUUUUGUAUCGGAGAAGAUGGUGGUCAUUUUGAACAUCUCUUGUAAAAAUACUGUUUUGUUAUAUGGUUGUUUUCUUAUAGUGUUUAUUAAAUUUAUAUAUUUGUU